GCUCAGAACGAACGCUGGCGGCAGGCUUAACACAUGCAAGUCGAACGCCCCGCAAGGGGAGUGGCAGACGGGUGAGUAACGCGUGGGAAUCUACCGUGCCCUGCGGAAUAGCUCCGGGAAACUGGAAUUAAUACCGCAUACGCCCUACGGGGGAAAGAUUUAUCGGGGUAUGAUGAGCCCGCGUUGGAUUAGCUAGUUGGUGGGGUAAAGGCCUACCAAGGCGACGAUCCAUAGCUGGUCUGAGAGGAUGAUCAGCCACAUUGGGACUGAGACACGGCCCAAACUCCUACGGGAGGCAGCAGUGGGGAAUAUUGGACAAUGGGCGCAAGCCUGAUCCAGCCAUGCCGCGUGAGUGAUGAAGGCCUUAGGGUUGUAAAGCUCUUCACCGGAGAAGAUAA
rnacentral:rRNA from 1 species